rnacentral:lncRNA from 1 species
CUGUUGUUCCAUGGCUUGCUAGCUGCCUCCACGGAGUUGGUACUGUGAUUGGUUGGGGUUCACUUGUUCUUACACUAAUCUUCAGGCCUAAUGUGGGAAUCUAUGUGUAUUUUGCUCAUUUGUCUGGAGCAGUCUGCAUUUUCUGUACUAUUAUGCUUCUCAGGCUCGUGGCUAUUGACAUGGGAUGUAUGUAUGCACUAUGUGCACUGUCUAUAGGUUUGUCCAGGCGAGACGGUCAUCUUGGAGUUCUUAUGUGGAUUGCUCUGGCAUUUUGCAUUUUUCUUGUGGUUAUCAGGGCCAUUUUGGAGAGUAGAGCUGUUGCUGCUGCUGCUUCUGCUGCUGCUGCAGGGGAGCAGGGUGAGCACCCGCCGGAGCCUUGAGACUAUUUUUUUUGAAACUCCACCAUGAGGAUAGUGAUGAUGAGGAAU